UAACUUUGCUAUUUGUAAUCACAAUAAAGUGUUUUAUAUUGUGGCUCAAAAUGAAGAACACCAUUGAUGGAAACUGAUUUUCAAGUUGCACAGUGACCCUGAAGUCACCAAGAGAGGCAGACACCCUAGGCUGGGGUGGGUGGGCAACCCAAGGACAGAGAUGAGUGGGGACGGGGGACAAGGUGUGCUUGAACCGUGAUUCCCAAGCCUGACCAUACCCACCGCAGACCUACCUGGGGCCCAGGUUCCAGAGAGAGCUCCCAGAGAUUCCAGUUCAGUAGGUCGAGGAGGAGGUGUGACCAACUGUUAGAACAUUCUGUCACUCCCGGUUCCCAUAGCUUCUUGAGUCGGUAUAAGAGAAUUUACAGCAGGGUGAAGAACGGUGGUACUCCAGAAAACAAUGACCACUUUCAAAGUGCAGAUUACAAACUGCAUUCGCACAUCCACUGUUUCUCUGGACAUCUUGACAGUCUUGGCAGGGAACCUUUAUUAUUAUCAUUACCAGGACAAAACAAGACAUGUGGUCCUCCUCCUAACUCCCAACCCCACUCCACCCCACAAAAGAUACCAGUUGGUUAAACAACUAAAACACCAAGAAGGUGGUCUUGAAGGUGAUGUCCGACAUGAGGACCCACGGUAAGCAAAGAAAGCCAUUUGUUUAAAAGCAACAUUUGAGACUCCCAUCUGACUGGACUUCGGUAGGAUUAAAUGCUUCUUCUUCAAGAUCCCUUCCUGCUCAAGCAUGUGUCUAUCCUCUCACUUGUUCAUUCAUUUAUCAGAAAUGUACUGCACACCUACAAUGUCAGCCCUGGGCCAACAGAAGGGAAUGAAACAGACACAGCCUUGCUUUCCAAGGGAGACGGACAGAACCAGAGUAGACAAAUAAGUCGUGAGCACAAGUUGAGCAAAGGGAGCAAAACAGAUACUGAUGGAGAAAUUAACAGCUUCCCUUAUCGUAAGAACACGGUAUGCAGUAGAUACGACGUACAAAAUCUGUGCGAAUCCAGUUUAUGCUGUCGGCAAGGCAUCUGGUCCACAUGUGAAAAAGUGUGUCAGCCACACCCACUGUGUACAGAAGCGGGUACGGCUGUGUUCCAGUGAAACUUCGCUGACAAAAGAGGCAGGCGGCUGUAUUCGGCUCCCAGGCCAUGGUUGGCCCUCCCCUGCUCUAGCCGGACUGGCCUCUAAGGUCCUCAGAGAUGCCAUACGUCCUCCUGCCUGCCCUGUCCACGUGCUGCUCCCUGCCCCGCUCACCACCUCAGCUCCAGGAAGCCUCCCCCAUGCCCUUGGCCAGAGGGAUCCUCCUAUCUGCCCCCCAGUGGGCCCACACACUCCAUACUGUCCUUCAGAACACUUCUCACGCUGGUAAUCGCAUAA